rnacentral:lncRNA from 1 species
GACCACUCGCAAUUGAUCAACUGCAGGGAAGGGGGAUGGUGCUUGCCUUAGGCUGCAUUUUCUGCAAAAAUGAAGGGGAAACACUUGAUUAUAUUGUCCUUCACUGCCCAUACGCUUCAUAGGUCUAGAAUUGGGUAAAAAGGUUAUCUACUUGGCUUUGGAUUCCCAAUCAAGCUGUUAACGUUUUAUAUCAAAUUUGGUCUCCCAUUUUCUCCGAGACGAGGCUUAUUUUAUGGAGGAUCCUACUGGCUGUUGUUAUUUGGUCACUCUAGAAAGAAAAGAACCUGAGAUCUUUUGAAGGUAAAUGUCGUGAUGUGGCUACCUUGAUUUAGAUCAUUCAAGCCUUGGUUACCACUUGGGCCAGAGUAUACUCCCCCUUUUCUUCAGUAAAAAAAAAGUUUUUAUUUUUGCAUUUCAAAGAAUGGCUAUUCUUUAGGAGGAGAAGAGGCUCUCGGUCGUCUUCCUGGACUCCACCUCCUGCUGGUUGACUUAAACUUAAUUUUCAAAAAG